GAUGAACGCUGGCGGCGUGCCUAACACAUGCAAGUCGAACGAAGCACUUGAAUGGAAUUCUUCGGAAGGAAGCUUAAGUGACUGAGUGGCGGACGGGUGAGUAACGCGUGGGUAACCUGCCUCAUACAGGGGGAUAACAGUUAGAAAUGGCUGCUAAUACCGCAUAAGCACACAGCGCUGCAUGGCGCAGUGUGAAAAACUCCGGUGGUAUGAGAUGGACCCGCGUCUGAUUAGCUGGUUGGUGGGGUAACGGCCCACCAAGGCGACGAUCAGUAGCCGGCCUGAGAGGGUGAACGGCCACAUUGGGACUGAGACACGGCCCAG
rnacentral:rRNA from 1 species